AUUGUGUUAGCUCAAUGGAAGGGCAAGUGCCUUGCAAGCAUGACAUUGGUGGUUUGAUUCCUUCAUUCCCUA
rfam:Picea glauca, whole genome shotgun sequence.